AUCAUACUGCUAAGUGCUAACAAAUUUUCUUCCUACCAUUUCAUUUCCCGAAUAUCAUCAUCCCAAUGUCCUAACUCUCUACAUGCUUAUCAACAUCUAUAUUUAAUACAAUAAAAGUUUUAAGCCAUGAGUGGGUAAACUCUGCAUCAAAAUCUUAACUUAUAAACAAAACCAUUUAUUCACACAUCUUAAACUAUAGGGUCAAACACCUUAGUAUUACAAAUCCAAAUGACUCCAACUAUUCUAUCAAAUUCAAUCUGACCUACAAGCUUCUUUUCUGUCUAAGAAAUUACUUGCAUAUAAACAAAGAUUUAUGCACUUGUAUAGUUCCACUGUACUUUUCUAUCCAAUUCCAACAAACCAAGAACUGUUUCCUACGAAAACCAGUUUAAGCUUAAUUCUCAAUAGCACAAUCCUACUAAACAAAUUUUGAUUCUUCCUUUGGGUCUUGUAAACAAUUUCAUACCGCCUGGACAAAUGGUCAGUAAUCAAUACUCAAUAAUCAUAGGUACAUAAUCACUAGACAUGAGCAAUGGAACUGAAACAAUACCCAUAUCCCAAGUGUCUAAAUUACACAAUCAUCAAUCACACAGAAUAAAAAAAGACAAAAGAAUAAAGAGAGGGAGGAAUUCAUUUCCACAUGGUCGUAAAGAAAGGUUCAGAGAGCGGUGGGAUAGCUUCUUCGUGGAUGCCCAUCUUGGCCACCUCCCCUACAGCCGCAUGUAGCAGAUCCCAAGUGGUCGGUGACGAUUGAGCGUUUGGCGAGUCAAUCCAGCAAGAUACUCUUCUUCAUCGUUCUCAGUCUUGCUAGACUCCACCGGAACACCGAAAUCCCCAAACCCAGAGUUAGGAAACUCGAAAGAGAACAGAAGCGGCUGAUUCGUGUUCAGGGCUUUAGGAUUCGAUCAAUACCAUGCUCAAAAUCCCCAAAAUUCAGAAAAUAAGAGACCAAUUCAAAUUGAAAUACAACAUCAAAGAAUCAAAAGGGCUAAGAAAUUGAGUGAGACCUUAAGAAAAUCGGUUUUCUUGAGCUCAAUUUCGAGCUCUAUCAUUGUCGUUCCCUCGCUCUACAAGAUAAUAGACGCCAAGGCCCGAAUCGCUGCUACGACCUCAAACAAAUCAGGUUACUACCGCUAGCUAAUAAACUCCUUUAUGACAUUGAACGGCUUCCUAGAUCCCUGCUUACUAGGGUUUCGGCCCACAACGGCCUGGGUCUCGCUAACUAGCUCGCUGGUGACGACGCAGUGUGGGCGGCCCGAGUUUGGUAGUAGGCGGAGUUGCCGUUAGGGUUUGGGAGGGCGGCGGUGUAGGAAAUAGAGGGAGCGAGGAUGGACGUCUAGGUUGUGGGGAGAUAUUGUCGAGACUCGAGAGAGUGAGGGUUCAGUUGUAAGUUUUGGUUUUAGGGAGACGCUAUCGAGCGAGUUUGUCGAGUUAGAAAGAGAGGCAGGAGUGAUUGAGUUCGAGAGAGAAAGAAAUUGAGAGGAGUGAUUGAGAAGAAAUUGAGGAAGAGAGAAGAGAGAAAGUGAGAGCGGUUGAGUUCGAGAAGAGAGAAAGAAGAGAGAAAGGGCGAGAGGUGAGUGUGUGUGUGUGUGAGCGGUGAGUAUGUGUGUGUGUUUGUGAGCGGUACUUUUUUUCUGUUCAAGUGUCGGAAGUAUUUUUGAGUCUAAGUGUUUCCCAGAUCAUACAAUAUAACUCUAAAUUUUGGUUGUCUAAGAAAUAACAUCCUUAAAUUACAAGAGCGGGAGAUUUCCCGCUGCUACAUCUCAGCCUUAAUUUUUUCCCUAUCUAUUUUACAAAUCAGACAACAUAAAUUGUAUAUUUUGUUGUGUGAGAAGAAAUGACAUCCUUAAAUUGCAAGCGGGAGAUUUCCCUCUGCGCGCUAGCUACAUCUCAGCCUUUAAUUUUUU
rnacentral:lncRNA from 1 species